CCUCAGAAGAUUUAUGGAAGUAAACAACGCUAUGAGAGUCUUCUUUCUUACUGCUUUGAUAGCUAUUUUAGCCUUUGAUACCUGCAAUGCAAUGAGAUGCUUCUUAACCUGCUUUAACAAAAAUGGCGACUUUACUAACUUUGAGGUGACCUAAGAAAAUUGUGAUCUACAAGAAACCUUCUCAAUAAAGACAUCCAAAUACAUUUUUUAAUGCCGAAAUCAAAA